rnacentral:rRNA from 1 species
UACGUAGGUGGCAAGCGUUAUCCGGAAUUAUUGGGCGUAAAGCGCGCGCAGGCGGUUUCUUAAGUCUGAUGUGAAAGUCGGGGGCUCAACCUCGAGACGUCGGUGGAAACCGUUUGGCUAGAGUCCGGAAGAGGAGAGUGGAAUUCCCGGUGUAGCGGUGAAAUGCGCAGAUAUCGGGAAGAACACCCGUGGCGAAGGCGGCUCUCUGGGCCAUUACUGACGCUGAGGAGCGAAAGCGUGGGGAGCGAACAGG